UCUCCAGCCUCACUGGAGAUGGGGCGUCUAUAUCUCCACCAACUGGCAGGGAACUGCUUCAGAGUUUAUUACCAUGUGAGUGAGCAUCAAGCUCCUGCAUGUGGCAUUACACACUGGGGGUUCAUUUGUUGACACAGCUGUCAGCUGCUAAACUGACUAACAUCUGACCUUUGCAACCUCUUCAGUCAACUUUAUCAAUCCACAUGCUCACAAGCUUUCUAGGCUGUCAGUGCUGUGGUAUUGAAAGCCACCCAGCUUCAGGGAGAACAGCAACAAAAGCCCUAGCACACAGAAUUGGGAAUAGAAGGGGGGCUUAAGGAGUCAUGAGAAGCAAUCUGAGGCAGCUUAUCCUUUGAUCACUAUGUGGCCUUAACAAAGAAUUUGAAGGACUUGCUUGAAGAAAGCCAAAAAGUCACAGAGACGGAAAUGGCAGGACUCCAGGCCCUUCCUCUGCCAAGGCUAGACCUCCAGCCCAGAUUGGUGGAGACUAAUUCUCAUCUGGCACCUACUGGGAGACUGAGGCCGAGAGAGAGAGAGAGAGAGAGAGAGAGAGAGAGAGAGAGAGAAUAUCUCAGAGGAGAUGCAGUGGUCCAACAUCUAUUGCCCGACCUCAGCAAAGCCCAUCAAAAACCUACAAAGCUUUAUAUUUGGCCAAUUUCAACGUACCAGUUCUAAACACUUUUACCUGGACCAGCCCUUUAAGGACUGGAAAGAUGGCUCAGCGGUUAAGAGCACUGACUGC